rnacentral:misc_RNA from 1 species
ACACCUGAGUAGUUACGGUAGAGGUAAGCUAGCAGGCGAGACGAAAGUAUAGUACUAUUACUAGCGAUAAACUACCAGAAUCAUACCUAUAAUUUUCACGAUUCAUGGUAAGUACCUAAUUCGAAAUUGUACUCUCGACCCUGGGUAUUUUAUAUAGUAAUCCAGGAAGGCAGUUAAAACACAAAGAUGUCCCAAUCAAGGGAUGUCUUCGAGCAAAAAGGACCCAAUCAAACAGUCUGCUACGAUAGCGAAACGAAUUUAGAUGACCUCUUCAAGGCUGCAAUGCUUCCAAAAGACAGUCAAGUACAGUUAAGUGGACCUCCUAUGAGGCUUCGAAACCUUCCGCGAUCUUUUUUUCAGCCGCCUGACGGGGGAUCAAAAUCAGCUUCACAUAGUCGAGAAUCAAGUUUUGAAGGAACAUUUUCUCCUCCUCCCCCGUGUUCCGUUGGAUCAAAUUCGGCAACAACUUCGCCACAACAACAACAUAUAAUUGUAAGUGGUUUAACAGUCAGUCAUCGCCAUACACAUUCGUCUCCAGCAUCACUGCAACAAAGUUACAAUCAAACCACUUCCCAGCAUCAACAUCCGAGACAACAGAGUGCUGAUAGUAUAGACAGUAUUCCUCUUCCACCUGGGUGGGAGAUGGCAAAAACACAGUCUGGAGAGAGAUAUUUCAUAAACCAUGAAACAAAAACCACCACAUGGAAAGAUCCCCGUAAAAAUCUUAGUGUUGGAGCUUUGACUACACCGAGAAGUUCUAACCUUUUAGUAUCAACUUCCACUUCUGGUUCAAACAUACCACCAAUAAACCUAGGUCCACUUCCUGAAGGCUGGGAACAGGCAUGUACACCAGAAGGUGAAGUGUAUUUUAUUAAUCAUAACGACUGCACCACAUCUUGGCUGGAUCCCCGAUUAACUCUACAGCUGGGAAGAUUACCAUUAAUGCAGAGUCCUCAUCAUGGUCUUCAGCAACCGACCAUGCCAUCCUCACAACAGCUAGGCCAGCAGCAACCACAGGUGCAGGCCAAUUCAACAGGAACUCAGUCUUGUGUUCAGAACAAUGCAGCAUCUGCUUCAAUAUCAGCUGCAGUGACCACUGUGGCAGGAUCGGUGAACAGUCAGCUGAAUCUACAACAGCAGCAGCAACAGCAAAAACAAAGACUCCACAGACUCCAGUUGGAGCGAGAACGUCUCCGGCUCAGGCAGCAAGAAAUACUUAGACAGCCGGCCUCCCUUGGAAAUUCCAUGCUUAAUGAAAUGAUGCUAAGGAGGACCCUGGGUGAAGAAAAUUCCGUUAUCCCAAAAUCUCCACCAGGAAACACUGUGGAUAUGAUUCCUGUUUGUACAUCUGGCAUAGAUCCAUUUCUGGGAAGUUCCAAUCAACAUGCCCGUCAGGGGAGUGAGGACAGUGGGCUUGGACUUGGGACCAAUUACAGUGUACCUCACACCCCUGAGAACUUCCUAGGAAGUUUAGAGGAUGUAAUGGAUGGUGGAGACAUUGGGCAACAGGCAGGAGGUGACAUCAGCAUGGAAGUGCUACAGAACACAAACCUGAACCUAGGAAGUGACACUAUGGAUUCUGAUGAUUUAGUACCCAGCAUACAGAAAUCACAGAAGAACUGCUCUCUGAUAUGGAGUCUCUUCUGACCUCUAACAAAGACAAUGUACUGACAUGGCUGUAAUUUCAAACAACCUUAAAAGUGAAGUAACCAGGUACCUUAGAAGAAAAAAAGGCGUUUAAUAGACAAGAAUUGGUUUGUUGGUGUGCCAAACGAAGAGAGAAGUGAUGGAAUAAUUAGCAAUUCCUGUAGACUUCCAUUAAACUGGUUACCUUCAUGUACACUUUAUUGUGAUAAUAGUAAACCUUUGGGGAUGUAGAUUUGGGUUUUGGGUAGCUUAUUUUUGUGCAACGUUUUUAAGGUGAAGGUAUUUGCAUGUUAAUUGUUCUUGUCCUGUAAAUGAAAGCUAUUUUUUAAAGUCUUUGCAAUCAAUAUUUUGGUAGUUAUAUCUCAAGUGUACAUAAUAUCAAUCACUGGCCAUAAAAAAAGACAAGAAAAUUAAGAAGUGUCUUUCACUGUUACAUAUUCCAUAUGUAAAUAAACAGAUUAUAAUAACUGUGUUCAGCA